AACGAACGCUGGCGGCAGGCCUAACACAUGCAAGUCGAGCGGACCUUUCGGGGUCAGCGGCGGACGGGUGAGUAACGCGUGGGAAUAUGCCCUUCUCUACGGAAUAGUCCUGGGAAACUGGGGGUAAUACCGUAUACGCCCUUUGGGGGAAAGAUUGAUCGGGGAAGGAUUAGCCCGCGUUGGAUUAGGUAGUUGGUGGGGUAAUGGCCUACCAAGCCGACGAUCCAUAGCUGGUUUGAGAGGAUGAUCAGCCACACUGGGACUGAGACACGGCCCAGACUCCUACGGGAGGCAGGAGUGGGGAAUCUUAGACAAUGGGGGCAACCCUGAUCUAGCCAGGCCGCGUGAGUGAUGAAGGCCUUAGGGUUGUAAAGCUCGUUCAGCUGGGAAGAUAAUGACGGUACCAGCAGAAGAAGCCCCGGCUAACUCCGUG
rnacentral:rRNA from 1 species